UACAGAGGUCCCAAGCGUUGUUCGGAUUCAUUGGGCGUAAAGGGUGCGUAGGCGGCGCGGUAAGUCGGGUGUGAAAUCUCGGAGCUUAACUCCGAAACUGCAUUCGAUACUGGCGUGCUUGAGGACUGGAGAGGAGACUGGAAUUCAUGGUGUAGCAGUGAAAUGCGCAGAUAUCAGGAGGAACACCGGUGGCGAAGGCGGGUCUCUGGGCCGAUACUGACGCUGAGGAGCGAAAGCGUGGGGAGCGAACAGG
rnacentral:rRNA from 1 species